GACGAACGCUGGCGGCGUGCUUAACACAUGCAAGUCGAACGGGCCUGCCUGGCUUUGGUUGGGUGGGUGAGUGGCGAACGGGUGAGUAACACGUGAGUAACCUGCCCUCUUCUCUUGGAUAACUGCUUGAAAGGGCGGCUAAUACGGGAUGUUCUGGCUGCCUCGCAUGGGGUGGUUUGGAAAGAUUCGGCCUGGUUUUGGUUGUUUUGGUGGGGGAUGGGCUCGCGGCUUAUCAGCUUGUUGGUGGGGUGAUGGCCUACCAAGGCGGUGACGGGUAGCCGGCCUGAGAGGGUGGACGGUCACACUGGGACUGAGACACGGCCCAGACUCCUGCGGGAGGCAGCAGUGGGGGAUUUUGCACAAUGGGCGCAAGCCUGAUGCAGCGACGCCGCGUGAGGGAUGGAGGCCUUCGGGUUGUGAACCUCUGUCGCCGGUGAUGUAGGCUCUGCUUUGUGGGUGGGGUUGACGUAGCCGGGUAU
rnacentral:rRNA from 1 species